CGCUGCCGGUUCAGCUCCAUCGCGUGGCGAAUGGUGCCGCUGGCCUCCGGCGUCCGCUCAUAGCCGCGGGAGCAGAUGGUCGAAAGCUGAGUGGGGCUUUGCGCUUCCGGCGGGAUGGCUCCGGCGGCGCCGAACUGGCGAGAACAGGAGCCAAACCAAUCCAGGGUGUUUAAUGAAAAAUUAUAGGGGUCUAGUAUAUGAAAUAUUCGGGCCGAGAUUCGAAUUAGGGGUCUGUAUGUAAAUGUAGAACAUUCGAUUGUGAUCCAAAUGAUAGGGCGGACAGAUGGCAGCCGCCAUGACCCCCCACCCCGCGCCGCGAGCCGGCAAAGUUCCUCUGCAAGACGGCGCGGGAACGGUUAAGCGACGGCCAUUCGCUGCUUCGUGGUGCCCAGCGCUGCAACCACGACCGCCGGUCAGCCGCGGUUCGCAUGGAGACGGCCAGACGGGAACGACGACGAAGAUGUGGCUCCUCACUACACGGCCUGCGUGCCGGUUGGUGGGGGGUUCCGGCGUCUGCCCGCUAAGUGCUCGACGCUUUGCCUGCAUGGGGGCAAAUCUUUUCCACCCACACGUACCUGCGACCAGGGUGCACAUACCACGUGAUCUAUGCAGAACAAGAAAAAACUGCGCAAACUGACGUGGUUUGAAGGAUGGACAGGAGUUCUGAAGAAACGACCGGGGCAUCUCAUCUCGUCUCAUCGCCUGCCUCUGCCUUCCUUCCCACUGUCCCCUGAAUCCCCUUCUCGUGAGGUAGAAAGCUGAGCAACCACAUGAGCAACAACUUCAAUGCGGCUGCAGCUUGCCUGUUCGUUCGAUUGCAGAUAUGGUUGCUGAAUUUAAUACAACGAUGCCAUUACAGAACUCCUGUAAGCAGGCAAAAGCAGAGUCGGACCUGAUGAAGAAUGGAAUUGAAUUGCAGCGAGUAGCCGAGUACUGCACACGAGAUGGUGGAAUCAUGGCCUCCUUUUUAAUUGGCACUGCAGUACAGUGAGUAACAGUUGUCCUCAGAUAACACUGAUUUACAUAUGAAUAGCAUCAGUAA